UCGUUGGGAAACUCAAGCCAU
rnacentral:miRNA from 1 species